UCCCUAUAUCCCAUCACAUUUCCAGAUGUCCCUCAGGUGCAGUGUGUGAAAUCUUACAAGGCCCGAGAGCAUGAUGAACUGACUCUGGAGAAAGCCGACAUCGUCAUGGUCUUGCGGUCAAGCAGUGAUGGCUGGCGUGAAGGCGUGAAGCUCUCAGACGGAGAGAGAGGCUGGUUUCCUUUGGAUCACGUGGAGACCAUCUCCAGCAAACAAGUCCGACAGAUGAACCUGAAGGAAGAGCAGCGGGUGAAAAACGCCAAACAGCAGGUCUUUCGCAGGAGAUAAAAGAUUCCCACCCUGCCUCUCCAACUCUGGAGGACAUUGCAAGGUGUUUAAAAAAAAAACAACUGCCGUGUGAAUUGCGAGACCGAAGGGGCAAAGCACAAACUGGUGUCGUUGGC